UUCGCAAUGCCCGAAAGGGUGACGAAGCGACGCCGCGUGGGUGAGGAAGGCCUUCGGGUUGUAAAGCCCUGUCAGGAGUUAAGAAAUGUAGACUCGCUAAUAUCGGGUCUAUUUGACAAAGGCUCCAGAGGAAGCCACGGCUAACUCUGUGCCAGCAGCCGCGGUAAUACAGAGGUGGCAAGCGUUGUUCGGAAUUAUUGGGCGUAAAGAGCACGUAGGUGGAUUUGUAAGUCAGACGUGAAAGCCUCCUGUUCAACGGAAGAAUUGCAUCUGAAACUACAAACCUUGAGUGUAGGAGGGGAGAAUGGAACUUCUGGUGGAGCGGUGAAAUGCGUAGAUAUCAGAAGGAACGCCGGCGGCGAAAGCGAUUCUCUGGCCUAUUACUGACACUCAGUGUGCGAAAGCUAGGGGAGCAAACGGGAUUAGAUACCCCGGUAGUCCUAGCCGUAAACGAUGGGCACUAAGUAGAGGGGUUUU
rnacentral:rRNA from 1 species